CAGCCGGUGGCGUAGUGGUCUAACGCAUCUCCGUAUCAAGAAGACAGUCGCGGAUUCGAAUCCCGUCUGGUUGG
rfam:Operophtera brumata OBRT01_Sc19334, whole genome shotgun sequence.